AUGGAUCCGACCCGGACCCGGAAAGUCCCUCCGAAACCCGACCUCUACUCCACCGUAGUCGUCCACGGCGACGACGAAUCCGCCUCCGAUUCCGACCGCCGCGCCAAGUCACCAACGGACCCGGAACCCGACCCGUACGCCACGUUCGUCUACAAGAACAAUGCUCACGACGACGACGAUGAUGACGACGACGACGACGACGCCUCCCUCCCUCCGCUCCUCAAGCGCCUUCCCAAGGACUUCGGCGGCGGCGCCUCCCUCAAUUACUUCGACGACGAGGACGACACCGCCGGCGAUUUCGGGACCAUGAUCGUCCGCAAUCGGACCACGCGGAGGUCACGUGACUGGGGGAGCCGUGCGGCCGAGGAGGAGGAGGACGACGACGGCGGAGAUGCGUUCUCGACGUUUGUGAUGAGGCCGAGUGAGAGAGAGUCGUCGCUGACCGGGACGGUGAGGAGGAACAGCGCCGGCGGGAAUUCUACUAUGAGCAGAGCCGUCGCGAGUAUGCAGGCCUCCGGCGACGGGAUGGGGAAGCAGAGGAAGAGCAGCGCCGCCUCGUCGCAGAACGAGGAGGCUCGCCAGAAUAUGAAAAUGUCGACCAGUUCCAUACCGGAAAGCGUCACCAGAGAAGAUCCGACUACGAAGUACGAGCUGCUCAAUGAGCUCGGGAAGGGGUCUUAUGGUGCGGUUUAUAAAGCAAGGGACUUGAAGACUUCCGAGAUGGUGGCGAUCAAAGUCAUUUCAUUAUCUCAAGGGGAGGAGGGGUAUGAAGAGAUUUGCGGUGAAAUCGAGAUGCUGCAGCAAUGCAGUCAUCCGAAUGUUGUUCGGUACUUGGGGAGCUACCAAGGAGAAGAGUAUCUUUGGAUUGUGAUGGAGUAUUGUGGAGGUGGAAGUGUUGCUGACUUGAUGAAUGUUACCGAGGAUGCUUUGGAGGAGUAUCAAAUAGCGUACAUUUGCAGGGAAGCAUUGAAGGGCCUUGCUUAUUUGCACUCGAUUUUCAAGGUCCACAGAGAUAUUAAGGGUGGUAAUAUUCUGUUAACUGAACAAGGAGACGUCAAGUUGGGUGAUUUUGGGGUUGCAGCACAGCUUACAAGGACCAUGUCAAAGCGCAAUACGUUCAUUGGGACUCCACAUUGGAUGGCUCCCGAAGUAAUUCAGGAAAGUCGUUAUGAUGGAAAGGUGGAUGUAUGGGCUCUUGGUGUUUCUGCAAUUGAAAUGGCUGAGGGACUUCCUCCAAGAUCUGCAGUGCAUCCAAUGAGGGUUCUAUUCAUGAUAUCCCUUGAGCCAGCUCCAAUGCUUGAGGAUAAAGAAAAAUGGUCUCUCGUGUUUCAUGAUUUUGUGGCGAAGUGCCUGACAAAAGAACCACGUUUACGCCCUACUGCAGCUGAGAUGUUGAAGCACAAAUUCAUUGAAAAAUGCAAAUGUGGUCCCUCUGCAAUGGUGCCUAGGAUUGAGAAGGCCAGGCAAAUCAGGACCUCUAUGGCUUUGCAAGCACAAAAUGAUGCUCCAGAUGAAUUGGAAGAUGAUGGAGCUCCCAAAGUGAAUGAAGAUUAUGGAGAUACUGUUCCUUCAAGGCCUCUGGGGGCAAAUGAAGUGCCUACAGGCAGCACAUUGAUGAAGCAGCACAUGUCUGGUAUUGGGGAGCAUGCAGAGGAAGGUAAUUUUGGCACCGUAAUAGUUCAUGGUGGAGAUGAAAGAGAUGUGACUGGUACUCGGACACAAAUUUUUGAUUCCAAAGAACAUUCAUCUGCUUCUGGACUUGGUCUUUCCACUGCUGGCGUAGGUAAAUCAAGCGAAGUCAGGUUGGGAGGUGAAAAUAACACUUCGGUUGGAGUACCAAAUACAGUUACACAGACGAAACAUGCAUUUUCUCUAUCACCUUUUAGCUCUCCUGAGCCGAACUUGAGAAAAAGCAGAUCUCAGCCACAGGUCGGAAGUCUAACUAUAAGUGGUGGCACAGUGAAGAAUGAAACUGUCAGCCGGAAAGCUUUUGCAGUGCAAGAUAAGCUUUGGGCCAUUUAUGCAGCUGGUAAUACAGUACCUAUUCCAUUUUUGAGGGCGACAGAUAUAUCCCCCAUUGCUCUCUUAUCAGAUAAUGUUCUCGGAGGCAUGCAGCGAGAUAAUAGUGGAGCCGGUGCUAUAGAUGCACUACAGGAGCUUUUUACUGGUGAUGCACAGUCAAAAAAGGGCGAAGAGGACAAAAUGAGAUUCCCCUUCCUCCAAGUGUUUACAAAAGACUCCAUUCAAGUCCAACUCUAUUGAAUCUCACACAAGCUUUAGCCUACCACAAGAUGUGCUACGAAGAUAUGCCUCUCCAAGAAUUGCAAGCAACUCAGGAACAACAGACCAUUCAAAAUCUUUGCGAUACAUUAAGAACCAUUCUUCGUUUGUAGCCAUAUAUAUUCUGACAAUUUGUAACUUUGUUUCUUUCAUCAAUGGCAGUGGUAUAGUUGAGGCUAGAUAAUCUAAGGUAGAGAAGCUGGGAUAGCAAAUAUAGAGUAGUCAUGUUGUCUUUGUGUAGCCUAUUAAGUAAAUAACUUUACUUGUACAUCACAGCCAAACUAAUAAUUUUGUCGAAAUGAAAGUUGCCAAGCUUCUUUCUUUAGUUAUUCAUGGAAAUGAAAUUUGUCGAGAUUACUUUGUGCGA